rnacentral:rRNA from 1 species
CCAGCUCCAAUAGCGUAUACUAAAGUUGUUGCAGUUAAAAAGCUCGUAGUUGAAUUUCUGGACAAGGUAGUUGGUCCGCUCCUAACGGGGUGUGUACCAUACUUUCUCGUUCAUCCUCGGGGAGAGCAUAUCUGGUAUUAAUUUAUCGGGUAUGGGAUCCUCGUCAUUUACUGUGAGCAAAAUAGAGUGUUCAAAGCAGGCUUAGGCCGUUGAAUACAUUAGCAUGGAAUAAUAAGAUAAGACCUUGGUCUAUUUUGUUGGUUUGCAUUCCAAGGUAAUGAUUAAUAGGGAUAGUUGGGGGUAUUCGUAUUCAAUUGUCAGAGGUGAAAUUCUUGGAUUUAUGGAAGACGAACUACUGCGAAAGCAUUUACCAAGGAUGUUUUCA